rnacentral:misc_RNA from 1 species
AACGCACGAGACCUGCGGACCUGCGGAAGGAUCAUUACAGAGUGUUCUACCCCCUUGUAAAAUGGUGGGUUUAACCUCCCGUCCUUUGCCGGACCCCCCCUUUCGUUGGGGGGCCUUUCAAACCUUUCUGCUUCGGCGGGGUUACCCGUCGGAACACCCUCAAAAAUUCUUGGUCAAAACUGUUCGGUCCGAGAAACUUAUGAAAAUUGAAGCAAAACUUUCAACAACGGAUCUCUAGAU